CAACGCCAGCAGGGCGGGAACUCUACUCUUAUAAUGGGAUGGAGCUAGUUUGUAUUCCUGCGUCUCAUUGGCUAGAAUCUGUGUAUGUCAAAUCAAACGGCCAAUCCGUGAGGGGAUGGAGGAGGGGUGAACGCAGCUGUGCGAGGGAUGAAGAUGGAGACUAUGAAUACAGUUGUGGUUGUAUCUCUGCUCCUGUAAAAUAGUGUUAAUAUUAGUCAAAGUUAAUCAAUUAAUCAGUCAAUCGAUCAACACAGGACUGAUGAGUGAUAAUCAGUUGAUCGUGUCAGCAAUAAAACAAAUGUUCUGGAUGAGGAUUUGUUGCUCUUCUUUGUCAGAUAUGACAGUGAACUGGAUUUUUCACCUCGAGCUCUGAGCCAUUUACUCAAUGAUUAAUCAGUGAUGAAAAUAUGCUUAUAUUUUAAGAUGAUGACAAUAUAUAUUAUAUAUAGCCUGUGUGUGUGUGUGUGUGUGUGUGUGUGUGUGUGUGUGUGUAUUUAUAGAGAGAGAGAAAAGAAAAAACUAAACAACUGAACGGUUUUAUAAGCAGACAUCAAAUUGAACCAGGAUAUUGUGUUGGAGUCUUCUCAUGUUUGUGGGGUUUCUAUGGUUCCUGCUCCUUCAGUUCUAACACAGUUCGUUCUGUUCCAUCAUCAUUAUUUCCUGAAUGAGAUGAAAGAAAUAUUAUAUGCAUCUGUAAACAUGCUGGAGGCAGCAGUGACACGACUAUUCAGAAAGACAUUUUGACUGAGUCUGUUCUGUCUCAGACUCAAACAUCAGAGGUCGUCGUCUCACAGGUAAUUAAAGUUUUUAAAUCCUUCAGACCACUGGUUCCUUUAUAGAGACAUGUGCUUCUCCAGCCUGUUCUAUAAUGAGAUGAUAACAUGGACGUCAGGUUAUUCAGACAUGUUAUCUACCAACAUUUAAACCUCUUGUUGCUGUGACUUUAUCUCUCUGCCAGACAACCUCUGCUGUUUACAGUGAUUUUUAUCUGUUUCCAUAAUUUGCUGUUUACUGUCUGAUGACAAACAAAACCACAUACACACAUUUCCUGGAUUAAAACACAUCACUUCUCCAGCUCCAUCAUUAUGAAUUAUGUUUUCUAUCUGGUCUCAUCAACCAGAAUCAGAAUCAGAAUCUGGAUCAGAAUCAGGAUCAGAAUACUUUAUUGAUCCCAGGGGAAAAGUUCAGCUACAGCUGCUACCUAAGCAAAGAAUAGAGAAUAAGAAGUAGAUUAUAAAGAUAAACAUGAAAAUAUAACUAUGAAAUAUAAAGUCGUCAUACUGUGAUAUACGAAUAAAAAAUUAGAAACGUAAAGCAAUAUUAAAGUAUAGGAGUUUAAAUUGCAUGUGUCUGAAAGUGUCAGAGUUGCACAGUUAGUAUAAUUUAGUGAGUAUGAAUAAAUAAAUAUAAAUAAAUGUUGAAGUGUAGAACGUCUGCUGUCUAUUGACUAUGAGUGUCUGGCACUGUAAGGGACAUCACAGCUCUAAGUGUUCCUGCAGGAUCAACAUGUCAACAGCCUCAGCUGCAGGAUGUCCUUCAUCCUUAAUUUCAUCCUCAUCCUCACCCUCAUCACAGUGAUCGGCCUUUAUACAAGAAAAAAAAUUAAAGGAGUUUUUAAAUUUCAAUGUUUUUAAAAAUAAUUUCAUUUAAAAAUGUUUUUUAAAAACAUUAUUUGUAUUAUUAUUUUUAUAAUUACAUCUUUUCACCAGAUUGUAGCCUUCUGUUUGCAAAAUGAUUUGAUGGGAGCACUUGCAAUACCUCUGCGGUCCACCAGCGGUCCGCAGCCCGCGGGUUGAGAACCACUCAUAUACUGUGAUUAAAUAUAUGUUGUAUAUAUUUAACGUUCCCAUAGUAACACAGUCCACCAAUUCUUUUAUUAUAGUUAUUAUAACACAGGAUAAUGUCUUAAGUUGUAGUCUCUGUAAAUUAUCUUAUGUUAAUAAACCAUAUGGUGACGUCAUUCAAAAGUCCUCCUUGCUUUUUGUGUGUGUGUGUGUGUGUGAGGCAAUUUUGAGACCAAACCUACGAACUUGAAUUUAUUGAUUGAUUGAUCAUAUCUGAACACGCUCUCUGUGCAGCGCCGCGCCAGACACAGAUUGACCCUCUGCGGACACCGUAGCUAAGCAGGAAGCCGUUUGAGGCUUUUGGCGGCAGCGAUUUGUUGACAUCACGGACGACUGAGGAGCCAGGAGACGGUCGAUCUGAACCCGGUGAUCGGGGCUGAGGUCCCAUGGAGAUGGACUCCGUGCAGCGGCUCCUGGACCGGUUCAGACCCCGCAGCGAAGCGGAGGCCUCCUGGUUGAAGGACAUGUUUACCUUCAUUACACAACAGGUGUGUCCGGUGCUCACUGGCCCCGCCCCUCACGCUGCAGCCGAGUUAUUGACAGGUGGAGGUGUGUGCUCUGACGUGUGUGUGUCUCUGAGUGUGUGUGUGGUGAAGACGCUGCAGGAGAACAUGACGCUCACACACACUUUACCUGUGAGCUACAGACCAGUGUCUGUCUCUGAGCUGGUCUCUCGGCAGCACCUGGCCUGUGUCAGUCACCUGUCCUGGAGCACCAAUCAACAGCGAGCGUGGGCGAGGGAGGCAGAGUUUUUUCUGCCAGGUAGCAAGGCUCUGCGGCGGGUCAACCUGCUGCUGAUUGGCUGCCUGAGAGAGGGGCAGGGCGGAGAGUGGAGGCUGAUGGACAACAGCGGGAGUGUCAGGUGUGAGUGCCUGUCUCCCUCUCCUCAGUGGCUCAACCAUGCUGUCUUCCUCCCUCACUGGAACUACAUCCCCCACAAUGCCUCGGGGCAGGACGAGGCCGGAGGCUGGUUGGAGCUGAUUGGUUCUCCUGUGCUGCUGUGUCCCGGCCCUGAGCUGGGAUUGGCUGCUGGAGGAGGGGCGGGGCCUAUCACAGCAGUGGGAGUCAGAGAGGCUGCAGGUGUACUGCACAACAGGGUGAGGGGACAGCGAGUGUCCGUCUGUGGACAGGUGGGCUCAGUGUUCCCUCUGCUGGUCGUAUUAGGAACAACCUUCUUCUGCUUCAGGCUGACGGAGGACAGACACAGUCUACCUGUCCUUGUAAAGGACAGCAGCAAGUUGUGGUGGCGUCAGUGUGUGUGUGUUGGUCAGAGUGUGUGUGUGACGGCGCUGCGUGUGUGUGUCCUACGAGGCUGGAGAGGAAACAACAUCCUGUGUGUGACCGACCAGUCUGAAAUACACACAAACUACACACCCACACACACACCUGUGGACGACACACACACUGAAUCCCAGGCAGACAUGCCCCCGACUAUGAUGCCGCACGGUAACCAUGAAGACUGUGAGGAGGCGGAGCCUGAAAGAGAUGUGGUCCAGUCAGGUGUGAAGAUGAAACGGUCUCGAGUCAUCAGUUACCAGGGCACAGUGACUGAGGUGGUGAGUGAGGGGGCGGGGCUGUACGUGAUUGACAGGAUGGUUGGUCUGUGUCUGGCCUAUCAGCCGAGGCCGGAGAGGAAGCUGAGAGCAGGAGACACUGUACAGCUCCACCAUGUCCACUUCCUGUACCGGCCCUGUCCCGACUUCCCUCCCAGCAUGCUCUGCACCUGUCUUCGCUCCAGCCUCAGGGUGACCAGCUUCAGCAGGCUGGGGGGGUCUCCACCCGCCUCCACCUGUCCGGGUGAUGGAGCAUUACCGCGUUUACUGCUGGAGCAUAACAUGGGUGUGUCCGAGUACCUGUGGACAUGUCACCUGAGCUCACGGCUCUCACACAGUCUUGUCCCCAGUGUGCUGAAGCAGCAGUGUGUGUGUGUCUUGUCCUGGAAGCUGACGGACUUUGUGUGGCGACAAGGACGAGGAGGAAGGAGAGACAUCUACUCAGAGAUGUUGGACGAGCCUCACACCUGUCCCCUGACUCAGUACAGUGUGGACCCUGCUGUCCCUCAGUCCAUCAGUGUCUCAGAGCUCUGUCAGUCUCUACAGUCAGACUGCUGGUCUUCAGUGUCGCUGAGGUCUCUGCUGUCCCCUGGUGGAUCUGCUCUGUCCAGGUCUGAGAUCAACACAGCUCUGUCCUGGUCCUGCAGGACUCUGACCUCUGACCCCCAGACUGGAGAUACAGCCAGGCGGCGCCCCCUGCUGCUGGUGGGGGUGUUGGAGCUUCCAUCUCAGACGUCCGAACACAAACACACUCUACAGCUCAGAGACGGGACAGCAGCUGUCACUUGUGUUGUCACGGAAACCAGUGAGGACAAGGAGGGAGGUCAGAGGGCGGCCUUCAACACUGCCUGGAUAGGUUGUCUGGUGUGUGUCCAUCAGUUCACCAUGGUAACAGAGAGAUUCCUCCAAUCAGAUUUCCCCUCCUACCAACACCUGGACCAGGACCAGUUCAUCACACACAGACACUGCAGCAUUUACCUGCAGUUUUCUCUGGACCACCUCCAUAUCUUGAGUCCAUCUGUCGCCAUGGCAACACACCUGAGACAAAAGGGGUUGGAGUCAGGAGGUGAUGUCACAGACAGGACACAGACAGAGGAAGGUCAGACUGUGGAGAGGAAGAGGGGAAGAAGAACAGAACCAGUCUCCACCCACUCUGCCUCCUCUGUUGCCAUGACGACAUGUCCUGUGAGCGGUGCCUCUCGGCCCUGUGUUUCCGUGGUGUUGAGGGUGGAGCAGAAGGAGGGCGUGGCCUGGAGGAAUGCGGGGGUUGGGUUAGAUGAAGAUGGGGCGGGGUUGGUGCUGCACUUCUCUGUUCGAGCUGCUGUGAUUGGUCCAGUGGUCAGCUGGCGGCGGGACCCGAAGAACAGACCAAUGACUGACAAGGAGACAGAGAGGGAGGAGGAGGAGAAGGUGGUCCUGGAGUUCUCCGGUGUGUGCGCUCGAUGGUUCCCUCUCCUCCAGUCCGGAUGUUUCUACAGACUUGUUGCUGCUGACACUCAGGAUCCCAGUGUUUUGAUUGGCCGAGGUGUUUCUGGGCGGAGUGGCGUGGAGCUGCACACUGACUCCACCCUACAGGUCCAAUAUGAUUGGAGGUUCCACACUCUGAGACGCCCACUGCUGCUGCACACCUGCAGACAGGCUCUCUCGCCCACAGUCUUUUCUGUCUCUGAGGUCCUGGACUGCAGUUCAGAGCUGGUGUGUUUUCAGGGUCUGGUGUCUGACAGGAUCAGUUUGAACGACAGGACGACUGAAUCUGGACACACACACACAGGUGUGCGUCUCACCAUGUCUGACCAAAGUGGAAGGAGUCUCCAGGUGUACCUGGACUUCAGCCAUACCCCCUACCCACCUGGCCUGUUGCCAGGCAACACACUGCUGCUGUCUGCUUUCCAGAGGAAGCUGUCCAGGUCAGGGGGUGUGUACUGCAGUCACUUACCUGUCAGCUCAGUGACAGUCGUUUCCCUCGGAGACUCCAGUGCUGCUUGCCCUCCCCCUGCUCCCAUGAUGCAUCUGGAUCUGUGGGCUCUGGGCAGGGAGCAAAGGUGCACUGUGGGUCAGGUCAGAGGUCAUGUCGUGUGUUUCCUGUUUCUGCAGCUGCAGUGGAGCUGCUCCCUGUGUGGGAGUUUGUACACACAGUCUUGUUCCAGUUCUCAGUGUCGUUCGACCUGCUCAGUCUUUCAGUCCAAAGCAAAAUUGGUGAUUGAUGAUGGGACAGGUGAGGCUCACGUGUGGUUCUCAGGUGUGCUGGUUCGUUCUCUGCUGGGAUUGGCUGAUUCUCAGUGGGAGGGGCUCCAGAGGGCCCUCAGGGUCAAAGGUCACAUCAGAGUCUACCCCCGGGGCCGGAGCGUGGUGUGUGACACUGACUCUGAUGACUCUCUCCUCCACUUCCUGUUGUGUGUGUGCAGCAGUGAUGUUGUUUGUCGCCCGCUCUCUCUCACAUGCAGGAAGCACAACAACCAGAGACCAGAGGAGAUGAGGAGGUUCAGUCGAGGAGACAGAGACUUCAUGACCAGGAUGACUGCUCCUCUGCAGCUCACCUGUCUACACAUCACUGACUGAUACACCUGACGUGGUCAUGUGACCUACACCUGGAUCAGAUAGAAACCCGUCAGGACGGAGCAGGUCAGACCACAUCUGGAGGAGGUCUGGUUCAUGUUCUCAUCAGGUCACCUGACUUUGACUGUACCUGAGGCUGCAGGUGUCAGACAGGAAGUGGUUUGAGGCGUCACAUCUCUGAUCCUGAGUCUGAUCGUGAGUCCUGAGACCCUCAGACCAGGACGGAUCCUGGUUCCUACCAACUGAGACGGUCCUGUAUCCUGGACCUGAACCUGGACCUGGUGCUGGUCCUGGUCUCGGUCCUGGUCCUGGUCCUAGUCUUGGUCUUAGUCUUAGUCCUGGUCCUGGUCCUGGUCCUGGUCCUGUUGCUGCUUCUCAGAUGGAAGAAAAAUCAGCCGCUGCUUUAACCUGCUUUCUGUUUUCAGCUCAGACUCUCGGUGCUGCCACCUGCUGGACUGGCUGAACACCUGAGUCUUUAGACCUGGUCCAGGACCAUCACACUGUAAACCACAAUCCUGUUCAUUGGUCAGGUCUGAUCUGGACUCUGGUGUCUCAGCUGGACACUGACGGUCAUGGAUCAGGUCUGAUCUGGACUCUGGUGUCUCAGCUGGACUCUGACGGUCCUGGAUCAGGUCUGAUCUGGACUCUGGUGUCUCAGCUGGACACUGACGGUCCUGGAUCAGGUCUGAUCUGGACUCUGGUGUCUCAGCUGGACUCUGACGGUCCUGGAUCAGGUCUGAUCUGGACUGUGGUGUCUCAGCUGGACCUGAGCUCUGCUUCACCUGCUGCUUCGCUGUGUGAAUCACUGUUUUCCUCGGUGGUUCUGGUCUCUGAUCGUAUCUGAUCCGUUUGAUUGAUUCUGUAUUUUUCUGCUGUAACAACAAUAAACAUCAGAAACUCUGA